GAUGAAGAACGCAGUGAAAUGCGAUAAGUAAUGUGAAUUGCAGAAUUCAGUGAAUCAUCGAAUCUUUGAACGCACAUUGCGCCCGCCAGUAUUCUGGCGAGCAUGCCUGUUCGAGCGUCAUUUCAACCAUCAAGCCCCAGGCUUGUGUUGGAGCCCUGCGGCUGCCGCAGCCUCCCAAAACCAGUGGCGGGCUCGCUAUCACACCGAGUGCAGUAGUUUACUCUUCGCUCAGGGCGUGUGGCGGGUGCUAGCCGUGAAACCCCCAACUUCUCAAGGUUGACCUCGGAUCAGGUAGGAAUACCCGCUGAACUUAAGCAUAUAUAAGCGGAGGA
rnacentral:misc_RNA from 1 species